UAAAAUUUGAAAAGAAACACAAUGUUAACAUUCUCUUAUACUGGUGUAAUUAUGUCAGGCUGUUUAUGGGUCCCGUUCCAUUGAAGGAUUGGAGUGUGUUUAGCAAAACAUGCUUAUUAGUGAUACUACUUCAUUGACAGCAUAACAUUUGGAAGGGAUAUUGAUAGACUAAGUGAAUAGGCAAAAUUGGCAAAUGGUUUCCAAAUAUAAGCAAGUGUGAGGUUAUCCAUUUUAAACCAAAGAAAGGAUAGAUCAGGAUGCUUUCUAGAUGGUAUAAAGUACUGUGGCUUUAUUUUAGGGGUUUAAAAUAUCAUGGACAAGUGCAGAAAAUAAUCAAGAAAGCUAAUGGAAUCCUGGUCUUCAUAUCUAGAGUACUCUGCUGACAGGACGGAGAAUCAAUGCUGCAGUUACACAAUAUCCUGGUUAGACUCCACGGAAUACUGUGAGCAGAUCUGGGCAUCACACCUUAUGAAGGGUAUAUUGAUUGUGGAGGGAGUACAAUGUAGAUUUACAAGAUACCUGGACUUCAGGGGUUAAGAGAUGAAUAACCAUUAUGACAGCGUCAUGCCACAGUUUAAAUAAAGGCAAAUGCAGUUUUGGAGUGUAUAACAACGACCUUGACAUCAAGUCAACAGAGACCUUCCAAGAUAAAAGAGAAAUGGGGAGCAUUGUCACCAUACCUGGACAAAAGUGAAUUAAACUGUGCCUUAGCUGAGCCUUCAGUGGUCCAGUAUGAGUUCAAGAGUAGAAUUACUGCCAGUGGAGUUGUUGAACCACACAUCUCCUUCAAGAUGGACAACAUGUCACCUGACCUUCUGACUAAGCAACUGGAAAACUGGAAAUUAUCUGCAUCACACAAAAUGGGAAAAUUCCAUUCUGAUAGGCGAGUCAACAUUCCAUCUGGAGCUAAACGAACAGAGCAAAGGUAACAGAUAAAUCAUCUAUUCACAACUUGAAAUCACCUCAAAGCUGAAACCAGAAGGAAAGCCAAGCUCAAUCUGGAUCCACCUAACUUCAAUCCGCAAGAACUAUAUAAACUUACUGAGCUUUAAAAUAUCACUUUAGCUGUCCUCCCAUUCUGUAACUUAUUGGUGUUGUGUGUUUGCAUUUGGAAAUUAGUUUACUUAGAUAGGGUUACUUGGACAACUUUUGAAACAACUCAUGGAAUCCUGUGUGUCUUUUGCAGUCACAGCAUGUGAACAGUCAAAGACUUAGUGAAUUUACAGGCAUAACCUUUAACUUGUUGUAGUCAAAUGAAUGGAAGACGAGAGGAGUUAACUACACCUCCUCCCCAUUUAAAAUAGUAGGCAUGGAAAUCCAAACCAUGUGUGGAGUCAUUCUUUGUCAAUUUUUAGAUUCUUAAAAUGUCAAAUUUUAAAGCAACUGUUCUCCUUUGACUUUUCUUUCCAAAUCCCAACUUUCCUCACUGCUUUAUGUAUUUGAUUUGACAGUUAAUUUAUCCAGACUUGUUUCUUAGUCCUUAAUCCCUCUGGUUAAGGAGAUAUCCGGAUGAAUUUUCUCAAAAAGUUGAAGUAUCCAUUUCAAGGAGGUUUAUGGACGGUUUUUCUCUAUGAGCUGUAGUGAGUUAUCUU